UUAGAGUUUGAUCAUGGCUCAGAUUGAACGCUGGCGGCAGGCCUAACACAUGCAAGUCGAGCGGUAGAGAGAAGCUUGCUUCUCUUGAGAGCGGCGGACGGGUGAGUAAUGCCUAGGAAUCUGCCUGGUAGUGGGGGAUAACGUUCGGAAACGGACGCUAAUACCGCAUACGUCCUACGGGAGAAAGCAGGGGACCUUCGGGCCUUGCGCUAUCAGAUGAGCCUAGGUCGGAUUAGCUAGUUGGUGGGGUAAUGGCUCACCAAGGCGACGAUCCGUAACUGGUCUGAGAGGAUGAUCAGUCACACUGGAACUGAGACACGGUCCAGACUCCUACGGGAGGCAGCAGUGGGGAAUAUUGGACAAUGGGCGAAAGCCUGAUCCAGCCAUGCCGCGUGUGUGAAGAAGGUCUUCGGAUUGUAAAGCACUUUAAGUUGGGAGGAAGGGUUGUAGAUUAAUACUCUGCAAUUUUGACGUNACCGACASAAUAAGCACCSGCUMACUCUGUGCCAGCASCCGCGGUAAUAMAGAGGGUGCAAGCGUUAAUCGGAAUUACUGGGCGUAAAGCGCGCGU
rnacentral:rRNA from 1 species